UCAAACCCUGCGUAGUUCCUAUGCCCUUAUCAGUCACAAAUAAUCGACAUAUAUACGUAAGUGGUACUGACCAAUUGUUGCUGGAUCUUCGAUCGAUCAUCAUGUAUAUAUGCAUGUGUUUUGGUUUUUGUGGAUGGUGAUCAGUGAUUUGCACGAUAACGGCUUAGAGGGUCCUAUUCCUGAGUUUCUUGGCUCCUUUCCGGAUCUAAAGUAACUGGAUUCAAUGGAACCGUACCUACUUAUCAAAGAACACGGAUUUGAAACUAGUGGUGACUGGUAAUUGCCUCUCCGAUUGAAGUCCAAAUCAUUUCCACAUCUACUGCCACCAGCAACAUGGCCGCCCAGCUGCUGCUUCUACUAUUGAUGCUGAUACUGCAAACCAUAAUUUCAGCUCUCUUCUAGCCUGUGAUCAGCUUGUACGGACUCGGCAACUAGUGCGACUCUCCCAUUUUUGUUCGAGAUGAUCAUGUUGCAGCCGCUCAUCUUUGUUCUCUCUUUUGGUGUCCCCUAAUCAACCGGCCUCCUGAUUCAGAUUUAUCUGCACAAUAGCUAGCUAGCUGAUAAACUCCUUUUUUUUUUUGGUUACAGCUGAUAUACUCCUAUUUUGUGCAUGCUUCUGCAAAUAAUAGCUAGUUUUUCUGUGUGUGUAAUUGUGUAUAUUUGACGACUGUCUGAAGUCUGAACCACUUGAAAUGCACAUAUUCCAAAU